UAGGGAAUCUUCGGCAAUGGACGGAAGUCUGACCGAGCAACGCCGCGUGAGUGAAGAAGGUUUUCGGAUCGUAAAGCUCUGUUGUAAGAGAAGAACGAGUGUGAGAGUGGAAAGUUCACACUGUGACGGUAUCUUACCAGGAAGGGACGGCUAACUACGUGCCAGCAGCCGCGGUAAUACGUAGGUCCCGAGCGUUGUCCGGGUUUAUUGGGCGUAAAGCGAGCGCAGGCGGUUAGAUAAGUCUGAAGUUAAAGGCUGUGGCUUAACCAUAGUAGGCUUUGGAAACUGUUUAACUUGAGUGCAAGAGGGGAGAGUGGAAUUCCAUGUGUAGCGGUGAAAUGCGUAGAUAUAUGGAGGAACACCGGUGGCGAAAGCGGCUCUCUGGCUUGUAACUGACGCUGAGGCUCGAAAGCGUGGGGAGCAAACAGGAUUAGAUACCCUGGUAGUCCACGCUGUAAACGAUGAGUGCUAGGUGUUAGACCCUUUCCGGGGUUUAGUGCCGUAGCUAACGCAUUAAGCACUCCGCCUGGGGAGUACGACCGCAAGGUUG
rnacentral:rRNA from 1 species